CAGUCGCCACGGUAAUACGAAGGGGGCUAGCGUUGUUCGGAAUUACUGGGCGUAAAGCGCGCGUAGGCGGCUUUGUAAGUCAGAGGUGAAAGCCCGGGGCUCAACCCCGGAAUUGCCUUUGAGACUGCAUCGCUUGAAUCCAGGAGAGGUGAGUGGAAUUCCGAGUGUAGAGGUGAAAUUCGUAGAUAUUCGGAAGAACACCAGUGGCGAAGGCGGCUCACUGGACUGGUAUUGACGCUGAGGUGCGAAAGCGUGGGGAGCAAACAGGAUUAGAUACCCCCGUAGUCCCUGUCUCUUAUAC
rnacentral:rRNA from 1 species